UUGCGGAUCGUAUCAAGUAAGCAGCUCACCACGAAGUUUCCUAAAAGCACUCCUACUCUGCUGGGUGAAUACCUCCAAAGCCAGUUUUAUAAUCUGCACAAAAUAUAUAUAAAUGUAAUAUAUGAGUAUAAAAACACGGUACUCAAUAUGCAUCUAAUCUAACCCCGAAGAAUAGUUUUGAGCAGUCGAUAGUCGGACCUACUAACAGCUUAAUAAUCAUAAGAGGCAUAAACAAUAUUUGGGAAGUGAGUGGAGAAGUUAAUACCUCAUUUUCUUUACCUUCACACUCAGAUUGAUGUUUUCUAUGAUGAAAACGAGAGAGAAGCAAAUUCAGAAGGCAGUGAUAAAAGCACAAGCAAGUCACCCAAGUAAAAGAAUUUUUUUACCCCUAUGACAUGUUGUUUUAGUCACAGAAAUGUAAUGACAUAUUUAAAAUCAUAAGUUUCAAAAUCCUCUAUUUCUAUCUUUAACUCCGUGCCCUAUAAAAUAGUGUUACGUAAAAUGAAACGGAGGGAAUAUCAAUUUAGAAUGCAAUGAGACUAUAGCUGGUCGUUGAUACUAGUGCUUUAUAAUAUGUCUAUGCCAAGGAAAGAUCGGAAUAUCUAUUCGUUAAUUCGUUAUUACUUUGAGAAUUCAGUUUAUAUUUGAGCAAAUGCUACUCCAUGUUCCAUUUUCAAAAACCAGUCCAUAUACAGAAGAAAGGUUAUAAUACUUACAGGUAAACGUAGUACAAAAUUUCUCCAAUUAGGUGAGUGAUCUACAUCCAGAUAAGGAACUCAGUGGUGGAAAGAGAACCUUAAUUCCUGCAAAAGAAACUCAUGAACCAUUUAGGAACGUCAGACGCCUGUAUCAAUCAAUCUCCAACAUCUACUUAUCUCUGCCAAAACAAACGACAAACAAUGAUGUAAUGUAUCUCAUACAGCUAAAACUUAAUACAGAUUGGAGACAAAUGAACCAGC
rnacentral:lncRNA from 1 species